rnacentral:rRNA from 1 species
UACAGAGGGUGCGAACGUUGCUCGGAAUUACUGGGCGUAAAGCGCGUGUAGGCGGAGCGAUAAGUCGGGAGUGAAAUCCCCGGGCUCAACCCGGGAACUGCUUUCGAAACUGUCGUUCUCGAGUACCGGAGAGGGUGGCGGAAUUCCUGGUGUAGAGGUGAAAUUCGUAGAUAUCAGGAGGAACACCGGUGGCGAAGGCGGCCACCUGGACGGUCACUGACGCUGAGACGCGAAAGCGUGGGGAGCAAACAGG